AGCUCUGUGCAGUGGCAGUAUCAUAGCCAAUGAGGUUUAUCCAAGGUGCGAUUGUUGCUAAAAUUUAUGCGAAAAAAAAAGUGGGAUGGGAUGCCUGGGUGGCUCAGUCGGUUAAGCGUCCAAUCCUGAUUUUGGCUCAGGUCAUGAUCU
ensembl:snRNA U4 U4 spliceosomal RNA